rnacentral:rRNA from 1 species
UACGUAGGUGGCGAGCAUUGUCCGGAUUUACUGGGCGUAAAGGGAGCGUAGGCGGACUUUUAAGUGAGAUGUGAAAUACUCGGGCUCAACUUGAGUGCUGCAUUUCAAACUGGAAGUCUAGAGUGCAGGAGAGGAGAAUGGAAUUCCUAGUGUAGCGGUGAAAUGCGUAGAGAUUAGGAGGAACACCAGUGGCGAAGGCGAUUCUCUGGACUGUAACUGACGCUGAGGCUCGAAAGCGUGGGGAGCAAACAGG